rnacentral:lncRNA from 1 species
GUCUGCUGCCGGCGGCGCCCACUAACCUGCUAGUGGGGGAGCCCCGCACCGCCGUGGCCAAUGGGCUUCGCCGCUUGCGGGACCGGCAGCCAGUGGGCGGGCGGGAAAGCUGGGCUAAGCCCUGGGGCACCCUGGGAGUCGUAGUUUUUCGCCGUCGAGGAGUUCCUGCAGAGCGGGCUCACCCCGCCCGGUUGCCAUUAGUUACCCGGACGCACCUCCCACCCCACCACCGGAAAAGGAAAGCUGAAGCAGAAAGGCUAAAAGCAACUUGCCCCCGGGGUCCUGAUAAGUUGGCAAAUUGGGAAUUAGACCCAGAUCUGCCUGACACCAGAGUCUGAGCCUUUUAACACUGCCUGUCUUUCCUGUGAAAACCAGACAGCACCCGCUCUCAUACUACUUCUGGCCAGGCUGGGUAGCUCACAACUGUAAUCCCAGCACUUUGGGAGGCCGAGAUGGGGUGGAUUGCUUGAGUCCACGAGUUUGAGACCAGCCUUGGCAACAUGGCAAAACCCCAUCUCUAC